rnacentral:rRNA from 1 species
UACGUAGGGCGCAAGCGUUGUCCGGAAUUAUUGGGCGUAAAGAGCUCGUAGGCGGUUUGUCGCGUCUGCUGUGAAAUCCCGAGGCUCAACCUCGGGCUUGCAGUGGGUACGGGCAGACUAGAGUGCGGUAGGGGGAGACUGGAAUUCCUGGUGUAGCGGUGGAAUGCGCAGAUAUCAGGAGGAACACCGAUGGCGAAGGCAGGUCUCUGGGCCGCAACUGACGCUGGAGGAGCGGAAAGCAUGGGGAGCGAACAGG